rnacentral:rRNA from 1 species
CGGACGGGUGAGUAACGCGUGAGAAUCUGGCUUCAGGUCUGGGACAACCACUGGAAACGGUGGCUAAUACCGGAUGUGCCGAGAGGUGAAAGGUUAACUGCCUGAAGAUGAGCUUGCGUCUGAUUAGCUAGUUGGAAGUGUAAUGGACUCCCAAGGCGACGAUCAGUAGCUGGUCUGAGAGGACGAUCAGCCACACUGGGACUGAGACACGGCCCAGACUCCUACGGGAGGCAGCAGUGGGGAAUUUUCCGCAAUGGGCGAAAGCCUGACGGAGCAAUACCGCGUGAGGGAGGAAGGCUCUUGGGUCGUAAACCUCUUUUCUCAGGGAAGAACAAAAUGACGGUACCUGAGGAAUAAGCAUCGGCUAACUCCGUGCCAGCAGCCGCGGUAAUACGGAGGAUGCAAGCGUUAUCCGGAAUGAUUGGGCGUAAAGCGUCCGCAGGUGGCUAUGUAAGUCUGCUGUUAAAGAGUCUAGCUCAACUAGAUAAGAGCAGUGGAAACUACAAGGCUAGAGUACGUUCGGGGCAGAGGGAAUUCCUGGUGUAGCGGUGAAAUGCGUAGAGAUCAGGAAGAACACCGGUGGCGAAGGCGCUCUGCUAGGCCGUAACUGACACUGAGGGACGAAAGCUAGGGGAGCGAAUGGGAUUAGAUACCCCAGUAGUC